UACGUAGGGUGCAAGCGUUGUCCGGAAUUAUUGGGCGUAAAGAGCUCGUAGGCGGUCUGUUGCGUCGGCUGUGAAAAACCCGGGGCUCAACUCCGGGCCUGCAGCCGAUACGGGCAGACUAGAGUUCGGCAGGGGAGACUGGAAUUCCUGGUGUAGCGGUGAAAAUGCGCAGAUAUCAGGAGGAACACCGGUGGCGAAGGCGGGUCUCUGGGCCGAUACUGACGUGAGGCGCGAAAGCCCAGGGGGAGCGAACGGGG
rnacentral:rRNA from 1 species